rnacentral:rRNA from 1 species
CACGUAGGGGGCAAGCGUUGUCCGGAUUUAUUGGGCGUAAAGAGCUCGUAGGCGGUUCGGUAAGUCGGGUGUGAAACCUCCAGGCUCAACCUGGAGUCGCCACUCGAUACUGCUGUGACUAGAGUCCGGUAGGGGAGCGUGGAAUUCCUGGUGUAGCGGUGAAAUGCGCAGAUAUCAGGAGGAACACCAGCGGCGAAGGCGGCUCUCUGGGACGGUACUGACGCUGAGACGCGAAAGCGUGGGGAGCGAACAGG